GAGUGAUCGAAAGAUGAAAAGCACUUUGAAAAGAGAGUUAAACAGCACGUGAAAUUGUUGAAAGGGAAGCGCUUGCGACCAGACUCGCCCGCGGGGUUCAGCCGGCACUCGUGCCGGUGUACUUCCCCGCGGGCGGGCCAGCGUCGGUUUGGGCGGCCGGUCAAAGGCCCUCGGAAUGUAACGCCCCCCGGGGCGUCUUAUAGCCGAGGGUGCCAUGCGGCCAGCCCGGACCGAGGAACGCGCUCCGGCUCGGACGCUGGCAUAAUGGUCGUAAGCGACCC
rnacentral:rRNA from 1 species